GGCGCCCUGGGGCCAGCAGACGUGCUCGCAGGCCUGACCUCGGGGAGCUGGGCGCUGCCGCCUCUGUGCGGGGGGACUCUGGCUCAGGCUCCCCAGUGGUCCCGAGGGAUUUGGGGGUGCUCCCCUAGCGUAAGCAGAAACUCUGUGUGACCUUGUUAAAGUGGUCCAGCCUCCUCGGGCCUCGUCUUCCUCGUUACUGAUGCUUGUCCUGCCCACCUCGUUAGAUGGGGAAUCCUAAAGCUCCGCCUCGUGUCUCGUUACCGCCCUGGAGUCAAUGCUGCUCGCUGCUGGAGGCUUGCAAGCCCAAGUUACGGAGUCAGACUGUCCGGGUUCGAAUUUUCGUCUCUGCCUUGUAGUAGGGUGACCUUGGGCGAGUCAUUUAAUGCCUCUGAGCCAUGACCUCUUUACCUGUAAAGUGGGCAGAACAAUAACUUCUAUUCUGUGGGCUUAAAUGACAAGCACAACGCGUUGUCAGACUUAGAAUAAAUGCUCAAAAAAAGGG
rnacentral:sRNA from 1 species